rnacentral:rRNA from 1 species
AUUGAACGCUGGCGGCAUGCUUUACACAUGCAAGUCGAACGGUAACAGGCCUUCGGGUGCUGACGAGUGGCGAACGGGUGAGUAAUGCAUCGGAACGUGCCCAGAGGUGGGGGAUAACGCAGCGAAAGCUGUGCUAAUACCGCAUGUGAUCUGAGGAUGAAAGCGGGGGACCAGGCAGCAAUGUUUGGCCUCGCGCCUUUGGAGCGGCCGAUGUCAGAUUAGGUAGUUGGUGGGGUAAAGGCCUACCAAGCCGACGAUCUGUAGCUGGUCUGAGAGGACGACCAGCCACACUGGGACUGAGACACGGCCCAGCCUCCUACGGGAGGCAGCAGUGGGGAAUUUUGGACAAUGGGCGCAAGCCUGAUCCAGCAAUGCCGCGUGCGGGAAGAAGGCCUUCGGGUUGUAAACCGCUUUUGUACGGAACGAAAAGGCUCUGGCUAAUACCUGGGGCUGAUGACGGUACCGUAAGAAUAAGCACCGGCUAACUACGUG